UGAUGGCUGCACUCAACAUUCAUUGCUGUCGGUGGGUUUGAAUGACAAUCAACUCACUGAUCAAUGAAUGCAAACUGCGGACCAAAAA
rnacentral:pre_miRNA from 1 species